rnacentral:rRNA from 1 species
CCCUUAGAUGUUCUGGGCCGCACGCGUGCUACACUGAGUGGAUCAGCGGGUCAGGUUGCGCGAAAGCGUUUCCUAAUCUUGAAAUCCGCUCGUGAUGGAGAUUGACGGUUGCAAUUUUCUGUCAUGAACGAGGAAUACCUUGUAAGCGCGAGUCAUCAUCCCGCGCUGAAUACGUCCCUGCCCUUUGUACACACCGCCCGUCGCUCCUACCGAUUGAGUGGUCCGGUGAGGCUUUGGGAUCUGAGCGGAAAGAGCGUUUCGCUCGUUCUGCCCGGAAAACUCAGUCGAACCUUAUCAUUUAGAGGAAGGAGAAGUCGUAACA